UUCUCCGCAGCAGGCGGCGGAGUGUCAAAAAGCCGCCCAGACGCGCCAAAAGCGGGCGCCCAGGUCCGGAGCCCCGAACGUGUGGGACGCAGCUGCGGAUGCCCACGGAGCAGCGGAGCCUCCUCACGGCACCUGUGGGUGAGCCCCGUUGGCUGGAGAGUGAGGAACAUGCUGGACACAACAUUCCUGGAGGCUCCUCCUGGCUCCACACUGCGCCGACUUGGCAGGUCCAGGCUAAUUAACAGUGCCCCUGAUGUUGACAAAGCUCAGGGUGGCCAGGAAGCUCAGGUGUAGAAAACUUUCGGGACUCUUGUAUUUGGAAGCUGGAAGGGCCCACACUUUGAAGUAGUGUCUUGUUUUCACUGUUUUAUUUUUAAUUAAAGUUAUAUACAGCUGUGGAUUAAAUAGAAUAAAUUUAAAAAUGAAGAAAAGGGGCAAAAUAUGUUUAUUUGGGUCUAAAAGCUAGGCAGCGCACAGAUUCAGGCUAGAAACCCAAACCCCCUCACUAAAAAAAAUGAGGUGACCUUGACAUUAACUCCCAACGCUGCUCUCUGUCCUCGCCUGCUUAACUAGCAGGAGGCCAUGUUUCAUCCUAAAAUGUUUUUCUGUGUAACCACAUGGAAUUCUUAAGAUUUUUUAAAAAUUACUUUUCCCCUGCCAAGGAGCAAGGAGGUAAUUUUACCAAUGGAGCUUUCAUCAGCUUCUGUUACUGGUCCUGAUAAUGAUAGGGAGUUGUGUAUAUUAUAGAAAAUGUGAAGAGUAGAAUAAAAUAGGAUGAACAGUAUCAAAAAGUACUCUUAUGACUUAGCACGUUUCCUUCCUACUUUUUUCGCCAAUAUUUGCAAUUGUGAAAUAGAAUGCCUGUGUAGAAGGUAGGCAGUAGCCUGAGAAUUAUAUAAUGAGCUUCCAUUAAAUAGGUCAAGGAAUGUAAAGUCACAUCAUAUCAUGAUCUUCCUCCAUAAGGAAGCCCCUAUAUGGCUGUCACUAAUUUUUUUCUUUGCUCUUCACUACAUAUCCUGGUAUGUAUCACUGCAUGUAUCAUUAAAACGUGAUUUUAAUUUUGUCUGGUAUUUAAUAUUUAAAUAAAUUAAAUCAUGUUCUGUUUCUGUCUUGAAUGUCACUAAACAGUAUGAAGGCAAGACUAGUUCACAUUUUGGGUGCAGCUAGACUCUUUCUUUUCACUGCUGUAUAGUAGUCCACUCAAUGCAGUUGUUUACAUUGUUUUCUACUCACAAGUAAGGGGUAAGGAGAGGAUGUUUCAUUAGUAUUUUCCUUCUGUGCUGGAAUGACAUCAUUGCUAGAAUUUUCCACUUUCAACACACAACACUAAUAUAAGCACUUCCCACAUCAUUAAAAAAUUUCAAUGUUAUUGUAUCUAGUUUUUACAUUCAAUUUUGUAUA